rnacentral:rRNA from 1 species
UACGUAGGCGCAAGCGUUAUCCGGAAUUAUUGGGCGUAAAGAGCUCGUAGGCGGUUUGUCGCGUCUGCCGUGAAAGUCCGGGGCUCAACUCCGGAUCUGCGGUGGGUACGGGCAGACUAGAGUGAUGUAGGGGGAGACUGGAAUUCCUGGUGUAGCGGUGAAAUGCGCAGAUAUCAGGAGGAACACCGAUGGCGAAGGCAGGUCUCUGGGCAUUAACUGACGCUGAGGAGCGAAAGCAUGGGGAGCGAACAGG